CCUACGGGUGGCAGCAGUGGGGAAUAUUGGGCAAUGGGCGCAAGCCUGACCCAGCAACGCCGCGUGAAGGAAGAAGGCUUUCGGGUUGUAAACUUCUUUUGACAGGGAAGAGUGGAAGACGGUAUCUCUCGAAUAAGCCACGGCUAACGACGUGCCAGCCGGCGCGGUAACACGGGGGUGGCAAGCGUUGUCCGGAUUUACUGGGUGAAAAGGGCGUGUAGCCGGGUUGGCAAGUCAGAUUUGAAAUCCUGCGGCUUAACCUCGGAACUGCAGUGGAAACUGUUGAUCUGGAGUACUGGAGAGGCAGACGGAAUUCCUAGUGUAGCGGUGAAAUGCGUAGAUAUUAGGAGGAACACCAGUGGCGAAGGCGGUCUGCUGGACAGCAACUGACGGUGAGGCGCGAAAGCGUGGGGAGCAAACAGGAUUAGAUACCCCAGUAGUC
rnacentral:rRNA from 1 species